rnacentral:rRNA from 1 species
GACGUAGGGCGCGAGCGUUGUCCGGAUUUAUUGGGCGUAAAGAGCUCGUAGGCGGCUUGUCGCGUCGGCUGUGAAAACCCGCGGCUCAACUGUGGGCGGGCAGCUGAUACGGGCAGGCUGGAGUUCGGUAGGGGAGACUGGAAUUCCUGGUGUAGCGGUGAAAUGCGCAGAUAUCAGGAGGAACACCGUGGCGAAGGCGGGUCUCUGG